GGCUUGGUGGCGUAGUUGGCUAGAGCGCACGAUGGCAGGUGUGACUAGAAAUCUUAUUAUCGUAACUGUGGGUUCGAUUCCCACCACCGGCUCU